ACUUUAAUAGCUUAUUUAGAGCGUAAUAUUGAAGAUAUUAAGGAAAUUGUUUAUUUUAAAGUA
rnacentral:tRNA from 1 species